UGGGGAAUAUUGGACAAUGGGGGGAACCCUGAUCCAGCCAUGCCGCGUGUGUGAAGAAGGCCUUCUGGUUGUAAAGCACUUUAAGCGAGGAGGAGGGUACUGGUUUUAAUACUACCAGGUACUGGAUGUUACUCGCAGAAUAAGCACCGGAUAACUCUGUGCUAUCAGCAGCGGUAAAACUGAGGGUGCAAGCGUUAAUCGGAAUUACUGGGCGUAAAGCGCGCGUAGGUGGUUCGUUAAGUUGAAUGUGAAAGCCCCGGGCUCAACCGGGGAACUGCAUCCAAAACUGGAGAGCUAGAGGAGGGCAGAGGGUAGUGGAAUUUCCUGUGUAGCGGUGAAAUGCGUAGAUAUAGGGAGGAACACCAGUGGCGAAGGCGACCACCUGGGCUCAUACUGACACUGAGGUGCGAAAGCGUGGGGAGCAAACAGG
rnacentral:rRNA from 1 species